UACGGAGGGGGCUAGCGUUGUUCGGAAUUACUGGGCGUAAAGCGCACGUAGGCGGCUUUGUAAGUUAGAGGUGAAAGCCCGGGGCUCAACUCCGGAAUUGCCUUUAAGACUGCAUCGCUAGAAUUGUGGAGAGGUGAGUGGAAUUCCGAGUGUAGAGGUGAAAUUCGUAGAUAUUCGGAAGAACACCAGUGGCGAAGGCGACUUACUGGACACAUAUUGACGCUGAGGUGCGAAAGCGUGGGGAGCAAACAGGG
rnacentral:rRNA from 1 species